GGCUUCGUGGCCUAAUGGCUAGGGCGCUAGAUUUCGGUAAUGGGAAAUUCUCUAGAGAUUGUCGGUUCGAGUCCGGCCGAAGUCG